rfam:Camelus ferus unplaced genomic scaffold scaffold36, whole genome shotgun sequence.
GUGGGUAUAGCUCAGUGGUAGAGUACAUGCCUAGCAUGCAUGAGGUCCUUCCUGGGUUCAGUCCCCAGUACCUCCA